rnacentral:lncRNA from 1 species
CAGGCGCCCCGCCCGGGACCGGCGGCAGCGGGCAGGGCAGGUUGAGGUUGGGGCUCCGCCCCGGCGAGCGCUGCGGCGGGUCGCCGGGCUUCGGCGGCAUCGCCAUUGCGACGGGCAGGUCUGCUCCUCUCUCUCUGUCUGUCUCUCUCUGGUCGGCUGGGCUGCGCGUAGUUUUUGGGUCGGGGCUCGGGAAGCGCACGCGGCUACUCCAACUCUUCUUGGCUAGCUGCUCGUAGACAGUGGCGUGUUGGGUUCUGAAAGAGAGUGGAGUGCGUGCGGGAUCUGGGAACGAAGGAGGUGCCGGGUGGGGUGGGGUGGGGUCAUGUGAUCGCCUGCCUUGUUUCGGGCUUUAGGCCUUGUUUAGGCCUUGUUUAGUUCCCAGAAAAUUUUGCAAAAUUUUUCAGAUUCCCCGUCACAUCGAAUCUUUAGACGCAUACAUGGAGUAUUAAAUAUAGACGAAAAUAAAAACUAAUUACACAGUUCGGUCGAAAUUGACGAGACGAAUCUUUUGAGUCUAACUAGUCCAUGAUUGGACAAUAUUUGUCAAAUACAAACGAAAGUACUACAGUGUCGAUUUUACAAAAUUUUUUGGAACUAAACAAGGCCUUAGUUCCCAAAAAAUUUUACAAAAUUUUUCAGAUUUCCCGUCACAUCGAAUCUUUAGACGCAUGCAUAGAGUAUUAAAUACAGAUAAAAAUAAAAACUAAUUACACAGUUUGGUCGAAAUUGACAAGACGAAUCUUUUGAGCCUAGUUAGUCCAUGAUUGGACAAUUUUUGUCAAACACAAACGAAAGUGCUACAGUGUCGAUUUUACAAAAAAUUUUGGAACUAAACAAGGCCUAGUGGGCUGGACACAUCUUGGGUCGCUUCAAGAGCAGAUAAAUGGGCUGGAUUAUGGAUGGACCUGUGGUGGUGAUGCAAUGUUGCUCAUAGGCCUUGGAACACCAAGAACAAGCUAUCAGCGGCGGAAGAAGGGACUUCUAAGAGCAUCUCUAACAAUUUACUAAAAUUCAUUUGGUAAAUAUUAUAAUUUGACAACUUUUUAAAAUAUAUAACAAGUGAAAUAAUAGACUAUCUUCAAUAGUUUGGUAUUUUUACUUAGGAAAUUUUUUUAAAAAAAUAGACCUAGAACCUACCAAAGCAAAUCAGCAGGACCAGCAGAAUCUCUCCCGUGACAUCCAAAGAAGAACAGCCGGCUAGCAGCAGCAUCACCUGACACGCGAGGACCUGCCGGCCAGCAGCAGCAUCGUCACAUCUUAUCGGUCGCAUCGGACCAUUCAGCAGCACAAAGCAGGACCGUAUACUCCAAUCACAAUCAUACCACGACGCCAUUCACAGUCUGCGCAGGAAAGAGAAGAAGUCACGCCAACUAGAGGCAGCGCUGCGCGAAGACCAAUUGCCAAGCUCCAUGCGCACGCGCAUAUUUCAAGUUGGAAUAAAUGUACUGUUGGAGACUAUUUUUUCUUGUUUUGCUAAUUUUUUGUGAACGCCAAAUUAAAAUAGCAAACUGUUGGAGAUGAGUGGUAAUGCUUUUUAUAAAAAAAAUAAUAAAAACAGGAUAUCAUUGAUUAUUUUAAAAUUUUUGAAAAAGUUGAGUUAUAUUAAGAUUUUAUUUAUUUAUAUGAGUGAAAAUAUAACAAGGGAAAAACUAAAAAGAAAGAAAUAACGAGGCGAACCUCUGUUGCUGUGAAAAUAGUUGAAAUCGAAUACCGUGAAUCUCACAAUGCCAAAGACAUCCAAUGAUCCAAACACCGGAAAAACUCAAUUCCAAUUCCAAAUUCCAUCCCUGAAUAUCUACAUACAAACGCUACCUUAUGCUUUUCGUAGGCAACUCUUCUUGAACUAAAAACCACAUCUAUUUGAGUUUGAGUACGAUAAGAAAAUCUUGUUAUUCUCCAACUAUGAUGUGAACGUAUGAUGCGACUUUAGUGACUCAGCAUUUUUCUUCGUCAUCACACAUGCAAAUGUCUAGAAAGAAAUUGUUGUUGAAUCCUCUGUUGGGCCGGCCCAGCAAAAAUGUGUUGUGCGGAGCGAGUAACGCCCUUAUGGAGUAACGGGCCAGGCCCAAUUCAAUUUGCUCAGCGUCGCUGCGCGCGUGACUUUUCGGCAUUGCAUUGCAUAAGUACCACCUUGUUGACAAGCUCUGUUCCUGUCCAAUGCAGAAGCAUAUAAUAGGACCAAGGCGACAUUAGGAAGACACGCAGCUGCGCGGUGAGCACAAAGCGAACUAUUCUUUCGCCUUUUACUAAAGAAAUACCGGCCCCCAAAUAGCAGCAUAUGCUAAUUUUUGAAGGGGAUUUUUCUUUUGGAGGUCCCCACAAUUAAAAUCAAACUUCUCUUUUAUAUAAAUGAAAUUAUAAAUAAAAAAAAAAAUUACAAAACUGAACCAUCUAAUGGAAAUAAUAAAAUUGAUAAGAUUUUUUAUUUUGAAAAAAAUAAAGUUGUUUGCAUAGCGAUUCGUGAGUUCAUAAAAUAGAAAAUUUCUUUUGUGGGUGUGAAAGUAGUGUUUGCUAACGCUAACCCUUAAUGUUAAGGCGAACAUAGCAGAAACGCAAUAAUUCCUCUUUAUAGAAAAACAAACUACUUUUGGAUUGAACAUAUAAGUUAUAUGGGCCAAAUUUGUUCAAAAAAAGUUUUAUGGGCCAACAUAACACAACCAGACUUGCAGUGCAUUGAAGAAAAUAAUUAGCCCAGAGGUGGCACACUAAACAUUUCGACUAAGAAAAACAGAAGUGGCAGUGAGGUUGUUGGAGGACGUUUGGAGCCAGAGUCGUUUUAGAAAAGUCAUAAUUUGUGGCUUCGCCAAAACGUCUCCGAUUCCUCUAUUUUUUUACUUAAAAACAACUUCUUUAGAAAAACGUUUGGCAGCUAGAGUCAGAGCUGGAAAGGAGCUCUGCCAAACAUGCCCUUAACAUCUCCGAGAGACCAAGAGGCUCUCUACAUGUCUUUUUACCGUUACAAAUUUAGAAAAAAAAAACAGACUCCAUCACUCCAAUAUACUUUUCAACCACUCUCCAUUAUUCUCAAUCUCUUCCCCUCUACUAAUAGAAAGGCUAGAUUUGAUGUCUACAUCCUCUCAUAAAAAAAUAGAAUAAAUCAUUGGAUAUAUAGAACAAAUUUUAGAUAGUGUUAGAUACAAAGUUUUUUUUUUGCUAUGUUACAUACUAAGUUUAGAGAUGCUCUUAGAGUUGCUCAAAGAAACCACUAUCUUUUCUUUGAGGGUUUUAUUCUAGAAAAAAUAGUCCAUUUUUUCACUUCACAUUGUACAAGCAAAGAGGCCUCUAUCCCUCUCCCUCCUGAGAAUACAAUUUUGGAGGGUCUAAAAUGUUUGUUUCCUCUUUAGAUUGUACAAAUAAAAAAAGACUACUAUCCUUUUUUAGUACAAUCUUGGAAGAUCUAGGCCUUGAUUGUUUUUCAAUUUGCAUUGUGGAAACCAUCAUUUUUGUAUAUAAGUUGAUGAAGUGGGAAACGAGCAAACAAUUUUUUUCUCUCAGCUUCCACAAUCUAUUUGGAAGACUUAGGCUAGUCUCAGUGAGAAUUUCAUUAGAGUAUCAUUUGCAUUUAUUGAGCUUCCACAUAAGCAUUUUUUAUAAUGUGGCAAUGUUUUUAAGAAGAAAGAGAAUAAGUGAGUUUUAUGGAGAUAAAACUCUUUUGAUACGAGUACCAACUCUUUAUGAGUCAUAUAAUUAAGUGUUUAUGAAACUAUAGAAUGAAACUCUCUGGAGGUUUCGUCCAAGUUUCAUUUCAUUCUACAUGACAUGGCAGUCUUGAAAAUGACGUCAUGAAAAUCUCCACAGAGACUAGUCAUAGGGUCUGUUUGGAGGGCUCAUGGGGCUCCUCUACUGUACCUCCUCCAACUCCUCUCUCUGCAGUUUAUUUCUAGGCAGAGCCAAAGCCGUUUUUCUAGGAGACCAAGCCCAAGCCUCUCGAAGCCAUACCAAACGGGGCUAGAAGUGUAGUGAGCCCCAAACCCUGAUGUGUACAGUACAUUUAUAAUCUUUUGUAGGCAAGGCAAGACUGGUACUUUCAGCAUCAGUUAAAAGGACCUAGGAAUGCAUGGGUUUUUCCUUUUCUGCUUUUUUCUUGUGAAAUGAACUGAUUCCUAUAAAAUCAAUGACUCAUGUGAAAUUCCUGUUUUCCAAAAGGGCCCUUAGAUGGGAUGUACAGUACAAAUCAAGUAUAUGUGGGUUAUUGAAGCCAAAGGGUUUAAGCGUUAUUUGAUUACAACACCAACCAACACAAGAGCACGGUGGUUACAGAACUUUUACAACAUACAACCCUGGGGGUUGGUUACACAGCCUCAUACGUACACGUAAGUUACUCCAGCCUCCAGGAGAAGCAACUCCAUGAAACCCAAACCCCACAGAAAUUUGAUUUAGAACUUUCACAUCAAAACUCACCAGCUUUUCCUGAAAAAAACCAAGAGGAGCCGAUAAGAUACACACGUCAAAGCACACUGACAACACCCAUCAGUCACAGACGCACGCACGCCGUCAAGUAGCAGCAGGAGCAGCAGCAUCGUCGGCAGCCUUGUCCUGCUGGUUCUCGCCAGCCUCGUCAAUGGCCAUGGCGUCCGGUUCCCGCUCUGCUGAUGCUGAUGUGACGCGGCCCUCGUUGGACGUCCGCUCCUCACUCUCCACCGGACCUGGCGGGACCGUGGCCGUGCUGGAGCUGCCACCUCCUUGCUCCCCCACCAGGCUCGUCAGGCCGUUCUGCUUCAUAUAGUUAUCAAGGGGCCGGCUCGCCACUUCCAAGAGGCCCAUCAUGCUCACCGGCCGGGGCUGCUGCACGCCAUGCUGUCCAUGAUCGCCACGGGCGGCAGGGGCAGGGUGGAAGUUGAGGUCGAUGUGCCCCUUGUUCAUGUCGGCCACCUUGUCAAACAUGGUCACAUCACUGUUGUCUCGGGUGGUGUCCAGCGUCUGCGGGGAUCUUGACAGGUUGCUCCCCUCAGGCUCUUCUCUGUUCACCCAUGUGAUCUUCUUGCUCGCCUCUGCCUCCUCUCGCUCCGACUGCCGCUGCUUCUUCCUCAUCAUCAGUGUCUUGAACCGACGCCUGACUGUCAUGCACACGUUGCAGGUGCACGAAGGGUUGUGCUUCGGGCCCUUGCCACUGGGCGGCUGGAUGCACACAAUGCAUGUGCAGCCAGGGCGAUGCCGGGGGUGCUUUGUGGUUGUCGCGACUGAAGCGGUGCCUUGGUUCCCGACUUCACCAAAUACUGCAGCAGUGGCCAAGGCGUCAAGGCUGGAUGCAUCCAUUUCAGCGACAUUCAGCUUCAGACCAUAGCUGCCCUUUCGCCUCCUCAUUUCUGCAAUAUACAUUGUAUGAGCAAAAGCUGCAGUAUGAGCUCCUCCUCUACAAAGUCCUGACAAAGUUGACUUAUCAAAAUAUAUCACCAAAAUAUAUCUGCCUCACUUCCUCAUUAGUCAUUAGUCAUUACUCAAACCAAUCAACUGUUACAUUGAUUAUGGUAAAGAGUUAUGGCUACUCUGGAUGUGUAUCUCUUAAGAGUUACACAGCAAGAGGCCUUUUUUGCAUGCAAGCCAGGGCUAAGGGCUUGAACCCUGACCACCAGCCUCCCAACUGGAGGUCCUACCACUGUUUAUCACUGUGUUUAAAAUUUUGUUUUCAAGGUCAGUAAACAUAAGUAAAUUGUACCUUCAUACUGCUGCAUAACACUUUGCAACUCUUUCGGGGUCAACUCUUCAGGCGCAGAGCAGGAGCAGCUGGAAUAGUUGAAUUUAAAGUAUAAUGAGAAUUAGUAGGAGUAACAAAAGUAAGGAUAGAGCAGUCCAGCAAGGGAGUAAGGGACAGUGUCACAGACAAAUGGCCUCCAGCAAGAGAUAGUGUCACCCUCUACUCUUAAUGAAAUUCGUACAUGCCUAGGUACGGUCUUGGAAAAAACAAGGGAUUGUCACAGAAAAUUGGCCUGAUUCCAGCAAGUUUUUUCAAUACGAAUCGUUGAGAGAGAUCCCGAGAGAAAAGAACAUCUUUCAAAGUACAUGGACAAAUCUAGCAAAUCCAGGAUCAAGUGUGACUAAAAUUCUGGAUUGACCUAGACUACGGAUAAGACAAGACUGUAACAUGAAAUGAAACAGAUCAGAUGAAGACCAUAUAAUUCAUUGUUCCACACCAAUAAGAUCAUCACACCAAAGUUUCAGAAUUCUAAGACUAAAAAGAUUGAUCGGAUCGCACAUCGCCCAACGCAUCAAGAGAGAACACAAUAUAGCAUUACCUUUUUGGGUCCCAUGAGUUGUCGGUGCAUGUCCAUUUGGAUGCAACAAUAACAUUAAGAGGCAACCGACGCCAUUUUGAGCACUCAUCACAUUGAAUCCACUGAUCUUGUUCCCUACAAAUCCAAAAUUAGAAAUUUGACAUAAUUGGCACUUGACACCAAGUCACCAAUGAUAUGUACAUGACUCCCAUUUAGACAACAAACCCUCAAACAGUAUGACAACUACACAGUUAAUGCAAUAGGUGAAUGAAUGUCACUGCUUUUUCAAUUUUUCUUUUUCAUUUCCACCUCUUAAAGCAUUAUGGCAUUUCUUUUUCAGGGAAGGUAUAUAAAAUUCAAUCUCAGGCAUUGUCCUAGAAUUAGAUGUGUCUCGCUUAGAUUGUCCUAGAUUGGAAGAAGAUCUUAAGACAUAAGUAAUUUCAGGUUUUUUUAUGUUAGGGGAAAGGUAUUUAAAAUGUGUUAUGAAAAAAUACAACUCAUCAUGGAUACUAUUCAUAAUCACUCAAAAGUAAACAAAAAAUAAUGAUACUGUAUCUUUUUUCCGAUCAUUUACUUACCCUGUUGCACGGAUGGUGAAAAUUGAUCUCUUUGCAAAGACAGGGGGUUCCUGCAUGUAUGUACUAUGGUUAGAGCAGGUUGAAGAUCAUUCAAGUAUUUUUGUGAUGAACAAAGAUCAGAUUUUUGUGCCUGGCAGAGAGGAUGCUCCAUGAUUUGGAACAAGAACAAUGAAAUGAAUAGCAAACUUACAUCAUAUUCUUCAAAUUCAUAGUCCUCAAUCAUCACAACAGUUGGCUUUGCAGUGGGAGCAGGGCGCAACAACUCUUGAGCCUCUUCCCAGGUAAGCUUUAGUUCCAUGGCAUCUUCAGCAUCGAUUAAGAACCUCCUGCUUUUGGAACCAAUAUUGCGACUACGUUUUUGUAAAAAUUGCAAAGACCCCUCAUCUGGCCUGCCGCCAAAUUUAUCUGCCUUAUUCCAACUGACAUCCCCAUCAGCUGAGUUCAUAUGAUGAUCAUAUAGAGAGCUUGGAUGGAGAUCUGCAGCUCCCUUUAUUGAGUGAAGAAAUCCAGGAUAACCACUUACUACUCCUAUGUUCUCAUUUGCAGUAGAAAAGAGUGUCUCACUGAGAAUGGAACCAUUUGCAAUAGCCGAAAUCUGUGAGUCCUGUGUAAAAGUAAUAAACAAACAUUGAAGCAAAAACAUGAAAAAGGAGAUAAAAAACAAGCAAUUGCCACAACAACAGAUUUUCUGAUGGAUAAUCUAACUUACUGGCAGACUAACAGUAUUUGUGGCCUUCCGAAAGCCCAUAACAAGUUUCCCUCCAGGAUCUAUACGACUAAAGGUCACUGCAGAAAAUACCCACACAAAAAAAUGAUUCCAGUAAACAACAUUCCGAGAGCAUGAUACAUGACAUAAUACUAUUCGUAUUCGGCAUAAUUUACUAUAGCAUGGAAACCAUGUGAAAAAUAGUAAGAAGCUAUACCAUAUACGUAGUAUUAAAAACAAACUUCAAUCAACAAAGAAGUGAAGUGCAUGCUUGCAAAUAGAUGCUUAUUAUCAUGUCCAAGGAAAUAAAUUCCUAAUUACCUGUAUCGCCAGCUUGUAGUUGCAAAGACUGUAUGCAUGGUGUAACACCCUCCAAGACGUACAUUCUGCUGUUAUUAUUUGGCCAAAACCUAAACUGAAAAUGCCAUUCUUUUCCUCUUGCAUCUUGGAUUGUCAAGGGGCGACCUUCUGGUUGAGAAAUUGGGGGGAAAUAUGCCUACACAGAGAACCCUGUUAACUCAGGAUGACAGAAACAAUGGGGAAAGAAUGCAUACACAAGCAGCUUCCUGCACUAGCAGUAAAUUUCGUGAACAGAAGCAGUAGACCACAACAAUGAAAAGAUGCACAUUGAUUAAUUAUUUACAUGACUAUGAGAGUAUCCAUGGACAUAUACUAUAGGAACUCAAAUAAGAUCAUUGCAGUGCUACCAUAGAUAUGGUAGUGGUUCAACAUUAGGAUGCAUUUAGGUUGAACAGUAACUGCAAGACAUUACGGUGGAUUUUCCAAUUUUAACAUAUACACAAUGUACAGGAUGACGAUCCCCUUCGUAUAUGGUAGAUGGUAUAUAUGUAGAUCCUAUUGAUCCAGGACAAUACCAUGUUUAUUUUUGUAAAAUAUGGACAGGAGGAAGGUCAAAUGCUUUUGAUGUUCCUUCCAAAGAGCUUUUGGAAGAUAAAUCAGCAAUGUAUAAUAAAAAAAAUACUUAAAUUAUUAAAAGGGAGCCAAACAAAUGUUAAAGUUACCUCAGCACAAGCUUUUGGAAGAACAAGGCGCCCUAUGCGGCCUGCAUCACUCGCACUCAGGACCUUCUCGAACAAUGGAACGAUUGUGGAAUUUGAACUUGCAAAAUAUAGUCAAGGAAGACAAAAGAAAACCUACAUCUGUUACAAAAAGAAUUUAUGCAGCAUAUUAUGUGGGUUUAAGCCUAGUGAGCUAUUCUGGAGCCUUGUAUCUAUAAGUUACUAAAUGUCAGAGAUGAAAUGUCACCAGGAAGUUGACAAUUUCAAAUGUAUGAAGGCCUUAUCAAGGAUACUCUCCAGAUAUUUGUUGCAGCUCUUGGUCUGUUAUUCUUGGCCAAUACCGAGGAAGUAAUUGAUUGCGGCCCCUUCCCUCAGCAGGCGGUCUAGCAACACGAAGAUGCGGAAACAUGUCUCUCGUUGGAUCAAAAGCAGCACCUUCACCAACCCUUGGUGGUCUGGUCAAGAAAUGCCGAGCCCUUUGUGCGUGCUGAUAGGGAGAUAGUGUAGUGGCAAGUUCUCUUCCUUCAGCAAUGGCUGUUGUUGGCGAUAGCAUAGGUCUUUCCGCUGUUGAAGUAGCCUCCAUCCUGUUUCCAUUGCUUGCAAUACCUAGGCUCAUGCUCAGACAUGCCUCUGAAAACGAUUCACUUGUGCUAUCUGUAGUUGGAUCCUUAUUGUCAUCUCUUCGAGUACAUUGAGGUGACUCUAAUGCACUUUGAGACCUAGUUAGGAAAGGCCUUCCCAUGUCCCCAAUACUAAGGGUUGGUUGUUCCCAUUUAAUCUGCCUUGAACCAUUCUCUAUCUCUUUUUGUCUCAAGAUGUUACUGCUUUGUCCAGCCUCUAUGCCUCUUACCAUGAACAGGUGAUUGCUCUUAUUUACAAUAGCAAUAUCAUCAUUUCUGGAAUCCAACAUAAGAGAGGGUGGUUGUUCAAAUUUUCUACUUGACAAUAACUCAUCGGUUUUACCCAAAAACCGCAGAUUAUUUGGACAUUGGAAAAGCUUUGGAACCACUUGGCCAGAAGCCUGUAAAAAGUACAAUCAGAAUAUUUGAAAAGGAAAGGUGGAUAAUGCGACAAAAAAAACUUACAGACUGAGCUGCUGAAUUUUUCAUGCAAGUGACACAUUGAACUCCUCCACUGUCAAGUAGAUCAUAUGAGUUCUUUGAGGCAACACAUCCACAAUGGAGGCGCUGAAACAGUAGAAUUUCAUAAGAAUACUGUUGCAUUACAGUUCAGCCCAAGAAUUUGGAGAAUCGAUUCCUCUGCAGUCGACCGCAUGGUGUAUUUGUCACUGGCAUAUGGGCCUGACGACCUGCCAGUGACAAAGUCACCAGACACCAGGGACUCGACUACACUCAACUGCAGAGGAUCUCAUCGUAGAAUUUGCAUGUAAUUGCGGCUUGGGUCGCCACCUCACCUUCCCACAAAAUGAGCAGUCUCUCCAUCCUGAUUCCUUUUGGUGAAAUAUAUCACAAAACACAAACUGUUCAUAUGCCAACCUAGAUACACCAGAAACCGCACGUUAGAAAUUAGAAUGGGGCCAAUCUAGUAGGAAUUAAACAAUAAUAAGGAUUUCCUAAGAGAGAGAGAGAGAGAGGAUGAAGCAAGUCCUUAAAAGAAACAAGUUCUUAUAUUAUUGUUUGAAAAACAAAAAACAUGUACUUCCUAUAAUCAAACCAAAUGGUGAACAGAGCAUGUAGUUCCCGCAGAACCAAUAUCAUCGUUAAAGGGUGAACUGUUGGUACCAAGCAACAAUUUUGUUCCAAUCCCAUAGCACAAAAUAGGUGAGGCAAAUAGUCGCCUCUACCAAACAGAGGUGAGGCUCAUCCCUGACACCAACCCGGUCAGAACUCAUUGGGGGCAAAUCCACAGUGACCGAUGCAAAUGUCAGUGCGCUUCUUGCUUUCAGUGACGAACGUAUGAGAGUCCGAGCCAGCUGAACACUGACGAAAUUCUCAAUUGCAGCUAGUACCAAAUCGGUUCGUCAGAUUCUACGACCCACCCAGCAGUCGAGGCAUAGUCAACGCAACUUUCCGGAGUCUCUACACGCUCCAGCUCGGCACGGUUUCCACAUAAAUCCGCUCGUUCGUUGGGUUUCGCUAGGGACGAAUGAUGCGCAAAAUCGCCGCACCUUUAUACAGCAUCAGGUGGAAAAAAAAAAGAAGGGAAAAGGGGGAACAAAGUCGCAAAGCAUCGAAACGUAAAAGGGGAGGACUGAGGACUGAGGAGAAGGCGAACGGCAUGAACCAAUUCCAGUUCACCCAUCCAAUCCAAUCCAGGUGCCCGCCCCAUUCGCAUGAGGACGGCGGCGGCGCAUAGGACAAGCGGAGCGGACAUGGAGGAGUAGGAUCGUACCCGCACUUGUCGCAGAGCAAGGCGAAGCCUCCGGAUCGCAGCGGCCAGCCCUUCCUCCAGUCCCCUCCCGCCCCGACCACGGACGACGCCGGCCCACCGCAGGCCGGGUUCAUGCACCUCUUGGCCGCCACCGCGCCGCCACCCGGCAUAGCCAUGGGUGGCCGGCGAACGCAGGCACUCCUCUGAUCAAAGGUGAGCUGAGCGCAUCGCCCACGGAGGGAGAGUGAAAGAGAGACGGGGCGAAAGACGAGACACCCAGCUAGAGGCGGUGGGGGAGGCGUAGCUUUCCGGUGGAUGUGGAGGGGACAACGAACGCGCGCACCCAGCCGCGGGCGGUCGCUGCUGGCGAUUGGUGCAUGCGGGUGCGGGGAAGACAAGGAAUGGAAUGGAAUACGAGGGGGAUCGGGGAAGGGAUGGGGCGGGGCGGGGCGAGGCGAGCGAGGAAGCCGUAGUGGUGGUUGUAGUAAACUAACAGCAACAGCCCAUCCUCCUCUCUCUCGGCGCUGUUGUUGCUAACGACUGAUUGAUAAAAAAGAAGAAAAAAAAAUAGUCCUAGUACAAUUAUCACAGAAGAGUAGAGUAGUGGUCAGUCACUCACUCGCAGGGGUGGACGAAAUUUUUUAUAUGUUUCUUCUGAAAAAACAAUUGGCAGGAAAGCAAAGUGAUGAGUCCUUUUCAGGGCUGGAGCAUGGCAAGCAUGCACGCACGACAUGGUCCUCCGGUCUGCUGCUUUUUGUAUUUCUUGCUGCGCUGGCCGGCCGGGCCGGGGAGACUCCGAGAGAAUCGAUCGCAUGAGCUAGCGCUAUAGCUAGCGCAGACUCCAGCAGGAGUACUAUCACAGGCAGCCAGGCAGCCAAGCCAGCGUUGCGUGCCACGAACGACGACUUUGCUUGCCUGCCUGGACUGCAGGGGUGUGCCUGUUCCCGCAGGCGUGCAGCGUGCUACUACCUUUGCUGCAUGCCUGCCUCUGCCUGCCCUGUUUCCUGCACCAUCGUCACGCUGCCUCUGAUUCGUGGUGGAUCAUGGAGGAAAAAGAAAACAAACCCCGUGGGCGCCAUCGACGUGCAUGUAGUUGAACGCGCAAGCAAGAGCACCAGUAACCCUAACAUACACAUUCUGAAUAUAUAUUUCUCGGGUUUCCUAUGUGUUUUACUUAUUUAGGCCUUGUUUAGUUCCGAAAAGAUUUUGGAUUUUUCAUUUUCGUUUGUUUGUGUCAAAUAUUGUCCAAUUAUAAACUAACUAGUCUUAAAAAAUUCGUAUCGUAAAUUACAAAUAAACUGUGUAAUUAGUUUUUAUUUAUUUUUUUGUAUAUUUAGUGCUUCAUACAUGUAUCAUAAGAUUUUAUGUGACGGGAAAUUUUGAAAAGUUUUUAAAUUUUAGGUGAACUAAACAAGGCCUUAAUAUUCAUCGGUGAAGAGAACACGAAACAGGAUGAUGCAUGCAUGCAUGUCAAUGCGCAGCGCAAGGCAACAGUAGUAGUGAAUGCGAAGGGAAUAAUGCCGGGCCGGCCGAUUCUGGCUGACCACUUUGCAGCGCGUGGCAGGCAGUGUACGGCCAAUUCAAUGCCCCGCGCCGCGCCGCGCCGGCCGGCCAUCGAAGGCACCUGAUCCGCCUGGCUCGCCUCCGCACGAAUCGUGUCGUAACGUCGCCUUCAGGCUCAGCUGCUGCAGCUACCAGUGCCAGCCUACCACUACCAGCCCAGGUGGUGGCCGGGAACCCGAGCCUGAGGCGGCCGGGCGUGGCGCCCCGCUCACACGCGACACGCACGGCUCGUCCUCCUCGUAGCGAGCGAAAACGUCGACUUUGUACUGUAGCCUCGGCCCGCGGCAGGCAAUUCGCCAAGGUGGUGGUGGGUGUGGCUCGCCGCGCCCGCGCGCCAGUCGCCACGACGGAGACGUGGAUGGACAUGGACGCCGCGGGGGCGGGGGCGGGGCCGGGGCGAGGCGUCCACGUCGACGUCGCUCGCGGACUCGGCGUGAACAUGAAGCUGCCAAGGGCGCCAGAGCAUCAUGCGUCGUCCGCUGCCGACGCACCAGGUGAAGGUCACCAGGUGAAGAUCGCGGACGAACGAUGGCCCAAGGGGCACGGUUGGGUUUGGGUUACGUGCGGCCGACACGAGUCCCCGUCGCGGACAGUGACGGCGACGGCUCGGGGCCGGAGCACGGGUUUCCGGGCCCUCGUGGAAGUGAGUGGACCACCCGAUUCGCCAGCCGAACGAUGAGCAUUCAGGACGUUGAACGGGACACCGGCCCGUACAAGUAUACUACUCAGCCUACUCCUAGCUACCUACGAGUACGGAGUAUUCCCUCCAUACCACGAAGAAAUCAUGUAGGGAUGUGAAAAGAUUUUAGAUUUCGCUACCGUAGCACUUUCGUUUGUUUGUGGUAAAUAUUGUCCAAUCAUAGACUAACUAGGAUCAAAAGAUUCGUCUCGUGAUUUACAGUUAAACUGUGCAAUUAGUUUUUAUUUUCGUCUAUAUUUAAUGCUUCAUAUAUGUGUCGAAAGAUUCGAUAUGACAGACUGACAGGGAAUCUUCAAAAUUUUUUGGUUUUUGGGUGAACUAAACAAGGCCUAGGCCAAUAACAUGGUCUCUAAAACCUAACUUUGACUCCUAUAUGUAUACUUUUAUGAAAUCAAAAAGUGGUAUAUAUAUACUUUUUAUAAAAAUAUUUUUCAAAACAAAUCUAUUCAUAUAGUUUUCACAUUCUAAAUUCAACAACUUAAAAGUUAUUCAUGAUUUAUAUUCCCAAUGUUUGACACCUUGUCCAAAACAUCUUGUAAACUUUUGAAAUUUUAAAGAGAUCUAAACAGGCCCUGUCAACUUCUCUCAAAUUUAAUUAGCUUUAUAUAAAAUAUUAGCAAUAUUUAUAUCACUAAAUAAAUCUAUAAAAUAUAUUACAUAAUUUAUAUAACAAUAUUAAUUUUAUAUUAUAAAUAUUAUUAUUCUUUUAUAUAUAAUUACUUAAAAUUAAAAAAAAACUUCUCGAGAUCAAGGCUAUACUGUUUGGACCUGGUGACUGGAGAGGUUGGUCCCUGCAGUUUUUUUUUCUACAAAACUAAACAUAUUCUCAUGAAAAUCUAUAAAACUCCUUUUUCCUAUAACAUUACUAUAUUCUUUUCUCAAAUAUGCAAAAAAAACAAUUGUGCAAUAUUAUAAUUAAGUUGGAAGAGUUUGAACAUACAAACGACAUACUUCGGAUGCCCUACUAGGUGGUCUAGAUUUAGGUCUUGUUUAGUUCUGAAAAGUGAAAACUUUUCGAUACUGUAGCAUUUUCAUUUGUUUGUGACAAAUAUUAUCUAAUCAUAAACUAACUAGAAUUAAAAGAUUCGUCUCGUGAUUUACAGCUAAACUGUGUAAUUAGUUUUUGUUUUCGUCUAUAUUUAAUGUUUUAUGCAUGUGCCACGAGAUUCGAUGUGACGGGAAAUCUUGAAAACUUUUUGGUUUUCAGGGGUGAAGUAAACGGCCUUAAGUAGAAAGCAUGUGCGACCUCGAUUUUAUAUACGCUUGGCUGGCGAGAAUGGAGGAGGAGGUGUCGCCUACUGACUGAACCUAGGAUGGCGGCGGUGGAGUCGGCACAUGGAAGAGGUGCAGGUGGGAGUCCAUAUAGGGCGGAAGGGUAAAAAAAGAAAAGAAAAAAAAAAGAGGAGCACAAUAGAGUUAACUUUCGUAUUUUUCAGUGCUUAUGUAAGGAUUGUUCUCAAUUUGUGUUUCAUUUUGUCUAUGUACUGUACUUUCUCUAUAUUUGAAAAGGAAGUCGUUUUGACAACGACAC